rnacentral:rRNA from 1 species
GCGCGAAAACUUUACAAUGCUGGCAACAGCGAUAAGGGGACCUCGAGUGCCAGGAUACAAUCUUGGCUGUCGCGAUGCCUAAAAAGCAUUGCAUAGCAAGGGCCGGGCAAGACCGGUGCCAGCCGCCGCGGUAACACCGGCGGCUCGAGUGGUAACCGCUAUUAUUGGGUCUAAAGGGUCUGUAGCCGGCCGGAUAAGUCUCUUGGGAAAUCCAGCUGCUCAACAGUUGGGCUUUCAGGAGAUACUGUUCGGCUCGAGGCCGGGAGAGGUGAGAGGUACUUCAGGGGUAGGGGUGAAAUCUUGUAAUCCUUGAAGGACCACCAGUGGCGAAGGCGUCUCACCAGAACGGACCUGACGGCAAGGGACGAAAGCUAGGGGCACGAACCGGAUUAGAUACCCGGGUAGUCCUAGCCGUAAACGAUACUCGCUAGGUGUCAGCCACGGUGCGACCGUGGUUGGUGCCGUAGGGAGCCGUGAAGCGAGCCACCUGGGAAGUACGGCCGCAAGGCUG